GUACUUACUUCUGCAGUACAUAUACUAAAAUUGGAACGAUACAAAGAAGAUUAGUAUGGUCAUCAUCUUUUUAGGAAGUUGGUUACUAUUUU
rnacentral:snRNA from 1 species